rnacentral:rRNA from 1 species
GGGUAGGGGUCCUGAGAGGGAGAUCCCCCACACUGGUACUGAGACACGGACCAGACUCCUACGGGAGGCAGCAGUGAGGAAUAUUGGACAAUGGGCGCAAGCCUGAUCCAGCCAUGCCGCGUGCAGGAUGAAGCAUCUAUGG